rnacentral:rRNA from 1 species
AGGACGAACGCUGGCGGCGUGCUUAACACAUGCAAGUCGAGCGGAAAGGCCCUUCGGGGUACUCGAGCGGCGAACGGGUGAGUAACACGUGAGUAACCUGCCCCAAACUUUGGGAUAACCCUCGGAAACGGGGGCUAAUACCGAAUAUUACUUCUGGUCGCAUGGCUGGUGGUGGAAAGUUUUUCGGUUUGGGAUGGACUCGCGGCCUAUCAGCUUGUUGGUGAGGUAAUGGCUCACCAAGGCGAGGACGGGUAG